GUUUAUAUAGUUUAAUAAAAACAUUACAUUUUCAUUGUAAAAUUAAAAUACUUUUUUUUAUAAAUU
rnacentral:tRNA from 1 species